rnacentral:RNase_MRP_RNA from 14 species
AUGGGAAAUUCCCCGAAUGUAAUCACAGAGAUGUGACUUGGGAGACUGAGUCCGGUACGAUGGCCGCUUCUGCAACGACUGCUGUAUUAAUUAUUAAUUAGGAAGCAAGAGCAUUUGGAAGCAGGCCGUAUUACCGCCAUUUGAGCAAAGUUAUGCUACAUGAAACUCAACGGGGAUUACUCUCA